AUGACAUUUUUGUGUGUCACACACAAAGUGACACACACGGACUUUUCUUGGCGCCACUUGGAUUCAUACACGAUUUCCCGCCACCCCACACACAAAAUGAGCACAAUUCAUUGGCUGAGGGCUUCAGUGACGUUAUGCUCAGUGAUUGGCUGCCGCGGAAGUCGAUCUGGCAGGUUCUGCUCAGUGAUUGGCUGCACCCAGAAAAUUCUGCUCUGCACCGGAGAACUCCUUCUACCACGCAGCUGCCGAUCAUUCCGAAACAGAGGCGAUUUGACGCAGAGGGGAUUUAAUGAGGAAGAAGAAAAAGAGAGGAAAACUCGGGAGAAGCAGCCGCUAGACGUUUCUCUGUCGACCCUCAGCGUCUGUCCGAGGAGGACCGCAGAAGGGCCAGGCUGCCUGCUGGAGGGAGUAAGAAGGCUAGCGGGGAGCCUGAGAUAAACAUGCAGGGAUGGGUUAUCAGCAAACGGGCACGCCACGAGAGAGUGUCCCGCAAAAUGAUCAGGGCGAUGGAGAAACAAAUGUACGCCACCAUGAGUGACAGCAUGGUCCCAAAUAAACGCCUGGUCUGUUAAUUGAGUGUAACAAAUAAACCCCCCAGUUGUUAUUUGGUAUUUAACGUAAGCUUGCUAUGCAAGUAAAGUGACGUCGGGUCAGCUGACGUUCACGUCAGAUCAAGUUGCAGCGAGGAGGAACAGAGGGACUGUGAGCAACGUGGAGGUGAAUGAAGAAAUAACAUGUUAUUUUCUGAUAAUGAGACGUUCAACAAAUAACUGAUGUUGAAAUAGACGUGUUAAUGAGGGAACACAUCAGGAUUUUUUAUAAGCCUUAAGAAAUCAGACCAGAAUUCCUAAAAUUUCCCUUGGUAAUUAUUAGUUCUUGCUAUCAAUGAUUCGAAAGAGGCGAUGUCUGUCAUCAGCUUUAACCAUUCAUCAAAAAUAGGUUUUACUUGACUAUUCCUUGAAGCACCAAUAAAGCCUGCCAGUGCAAGCCCAAAUUUUUGUUUGGAUAUACAUGGUGGUAAAACAAACCUAUCUCCUAAUAAACACAGCUGGGGAGAUUCUGGCAGUGGUUUAUGCAACCAUUCUCCAAUACAUUUUACCACUUGCUUCUACAAAGGAGAUAUGUAUGAACAUUACCACAGUAAAUUAAGGAAAGUACCUACUUCCUUUUGACACCUCCAGCAUUAAUUAGUAUCCACAAGUCCCAUUCUCUGAAGUUUAACAGGGGUAUAAUAAUAUCGGUGUAUGAUUUCAAUCUAUCAUAAAAACAUUUUUAAUGUCUGCGAAUUCUCAUUUGUCCAGGUUAAAUGCUUCAUCAGAAGCUAAGUCCAGUUGACCUGAUUCAGUUACCUAGAGAAACCAGUUUAAUGUUGAGAGAGAAUGUCUGAUGUGACUUGACCAUUACAUAUAGUUCACUCAACAGUUUCAGUGUCUAAAGGAAUGUCAUAUGCGACAUGGUAUUUAUUAAAGCUUGUUUGAAAUUUUAUGUUA
rnacentral:lncRNA from 1 species